rnacentral:ribozyme from 1 species
GGGGAGCUGAGGAUUUGGGGAGAGAGGUUUCGGUUUAUAGUUUUCUUUCGUUUGGAGGGACUAAUAGUUU